rnacentral:rRNA from 1 species
UACGGAGGGUGCAAGCGUUAUCCGGAUUCACUGGGUUUAAAGGGUGCGUAGGUGGGCAGGUAAGUCAGUGGUGAAAUCUCCGGGCUUAACCCGGAAACUGCCAUUGAUACUAUCUGUCUUGAAUACCGUGGAGGUGAGCGGAAUAUGUCAUGUAGCGGUGAAAUGCUUAGAUAUGACAUAGAACACCAAUUGCGAAGGCAGCUCACUACGCGAAUAUUGACACUGAGGCACGAAAGCGUGGGGAUCGAAACAAGGAGUUA